GAUGAAAGUGGGGGAUCGCAAGACCUCAUGCUCCUGGAGCGGCCGAUAUCUGAUUAGCUAGUUGGUGAGGUAAAGGCUCACCAAGGCGACGAUCAGUAGCUGGUCUGAGAGGACGACCAGCCACACUGGAACUGAGACACGGUCCAGACUCCUACGGGAGGCAGCAGUGGGGAAUUUUGGACAAUGGGCGCAAGCCUGAUCCAGCAAUGCCGCGUGAGUGAAGAAGGCCUUCGGGUUGUAAAGCUCUUUUGUCAGGGAAGAAACGGCUCGAGCUAAUAUCUUGGGCUAAUGACGGUACCUGAAGAAUAAGCACCGGCUAACUACGUGCCAGCAGCCGCGGUAAUACGUAGGGUGCAAGCGUUAAUCGGAAUUACUGGGCGUAAAGCGUGCGCAGGCGGUUUUGUAAGUCUGUCGUGAAAGCCCCGGGCUCAACCUGGGAAUUGCGAUGGAGACUGCAAGGCUUGAAUCUGGCAGAGGGGGGUAGAAUUCCACGUGUAGCAGUGAAAUGCGUAGAGA
rnacentral:rRNA from 1 species